UGGGGAAUAUUGCACAAUGGGCGCAAGCCUGAUGCAGCGACGCCGCGUGAGGGAUGACGGCCUUCGGGUUGUAAACCUCUUUCAGUAGGGACGAAGCGAAAGUGACGGUACCUACAGAAGAAGGACCGGCCAACUACGUGCCAGCAGCCGCGGUAAUACGUAGGGUCCGAGCGUUGUCCGGAAUUACUGGGCGUAAAGAGCUCGUAGGUGGUUUGUCGCGUUGUUCGUGAAAACUCACAGCUUAACUGUGGGCGUGCGGGCGAUACGGGCAGACUAGAGUACUGCAGGGGAGACUGGAAUUCCUGGUGUAGCGGUGGAAUGCGCAGAUAUCAGGAGGAACACCGGUGGCGAAGGCGGGUCUCUGGGCAGUAACUGACGCUGAGGAGCGAAAGCGUGGGUAGCGAACAG
rnacentral:rRNA from 1 species